GAGGGUAUAGCUCAGUGGCAGAGUGCAUGCUUAGCAUGCACAAGGUUCUGGGUUCAGUCCCCAGUACCUCCG
rnacentral:tRNA from 1 species